GUUCAAUUUGGCUUGAGACAAUCCAACGGUUGAAAAUUUUUCAAAGUUUUUCAUUUUUUUUUUCGAAGAAAAAAUUCCAAUUCGAAGUUGACCAACACAAUUCCAAUCCGGUUUAAGAGGGAAGGAAAAUUUGUCUGGUUCUGGUUUCAACCUAUGGAGCUUCAGUCUAGGUUAAACCAGGCCGAUUCCAAGUCCGAGCCAAACCAUGGACAGAUGUAGGAAUGAGAAGCAAACCAGCAGAGAACUACAAUCAGUACCACCCUGUAAAAGGAUCCCAGUUUCAUCAAGCAACUUCACUUUGACCACUUUAUUCCAAUUUUGCCAAUUAUCAAACAUAAUUCACCAAUCACACAAAAUGGCAAUCAUGUAUACACAGUCUCAUACCUUGCCAUCUAAAUCACUAUAAAUCACGUAUACACAGUCUUAUAACUUGACACAACUCUUUUCAAAUUGCCGAACCCACUUGGAGGAGUCUAAGGGUUGACAACUAACUGGGCAGUAUCCAAAUAAGCUAUUUUCACUUGCAUCAAUCUCCUCAUAAUAAACAUGCAAAAAUUCAUUAAAGAAGAAUGAAAACAAGAAAAAUUAUAGCUCACUGACAUAGAUUAGUAUAUAA
rnacentral:misc_RNA from 1 species